rnacentral:rRNA from 1 species
GACAGAGGGUGCAAACGUUGUUCGGAAUUACUGGGCGUAAAGCGCGUGUAGGCGGCUUGGCAAGUCGAGUGUGAAAGCCCCGGGCUCAACCUGGGAACUGCGCUCGAAACGGCAGAACUAGAGUUCGGGAGAGGAGAGUGGAAUUCCCAGUGUAGAGGUGAAAUUCGUAGAUAUUGGGAAGAACACCGGGUGGCGAAGGCGGCUCUCUGGACCGAUACUGACGCUGAGGCGCGAAAGCGUGGGGAGCAACAGG